rnacentral:rRNA from 1 species
UACGUAGGGUGCAAGCGUUAAUCGGAAUUACUGGGCGUAAAGCGUGCGCAGGCGGUUGUGCAAGACAGAUGUGAAAUCCCCGGGCUCAACCUGGGAACUGCAUUUGUGACUGCACGGCUGGAGUGCGGCAGACGGGGAUGGAAUUCCGCGUGUAGCAGUGAAAUGCGUAGAUAUGCGGAGGAACACCGAUGGCGAAGGCAAUCCCCUGGGCCUGCACUGACGCUCAUGCACGAAAGCGUGGGGAGCAAACAGG